rnacentral:misc_RNA from 1 species
ACACACACACACACACACACCCCUAGAGAGAAAGAGAGAGAAAGAGAGUGGAAAAGACUGUUAUGUGGAAGAAAUGAAUACCUUUUGAGUGUACUGCAAGUCCACUGUCAGCUUGGGGGAAUACUAGUAGAAGAUGCAGAUGUGUGCACGACAGCACUGAGUUGUUUGGUUUUGUUUACUGUCCUUUCCUUUUAAUCAUAAUUUAGAUUGCUUGGGGGAGGGUGUAGGUGCUUUUUGCACAUAAGAUGUAAGUUAAGUUUUGAAUUUUAAAUUUGUUGAGAAGAAUGGGGCCAUGGGGGAACUAAUUUCUGUGCUUGAUUCAAAUCCAAUUCUCUAGAGUGGACCUUGAUUUAUAUAUAUUUUUUAUUUGUCCUAUAGAUUCAAAUUGCCACGGUGGGGACUGGGGAAUCAACUCAAAUUACUCAAAUAGUACAAGUCAAAUAGAAAAUGUGCGAUUGUAACAGCGUUGGUCCAAAUCCUUAGUCCAAUAUUUUUAAAGGUUUAGGAUUAACUCUGUUUCUAUAAAUGCUUGUGUUUGUAAUUCUUAUAGUUCAGUUUUUAGUCAAUAGAAAUUUCCUGCAAUUAUUGCUUUUGGAUUGUGAGAUGCAGUUCAAUCCUAGAUGUGAUGCCUAUGUUACCUUGGAUUUGAAGCCUAAGGAUUAAGGAAGCUUACUUGUCAAUCCUAAACCUUUAUUUACUUUUUUGCUGGUACUGUUCACAGUGCCUUAACUGCACAGCAAACAUGCCCUAUAAUAUGUUUUCCUUUUGUUAUUUUGCUGCCUAGCUACUCUUGGUUAUAAAUUCUGAUUGUUUACCUACUCUAAUUUUCUACUAAUUCAAGCUUUCUAAUAAACUCAAAAUCUAGCCUAAGUUACCAGCUUUUACAAGCUGUCUUAUGUCAAAAAUUGGAAGUCACAAUCGAAGUGGCUGAUUAUUCAAACAUAUUUUCUUAUUGCUUCUCUCAUGGUGUUUAUGUUAUCUUCAAUAUAGCUUUUGAUUGUUAUUCAUAUUUCUUUUGAUAUUUCAGCCUCUGCGAGCAAAGCAUUGC